rnacentral:rRNA from 1 species
AGAAUCAACGCUGGCGGCGUGCCUAACACAUGCAAGUCGCACGAGAAAGGGUAGCAAUACCUGAGUACAGUGGCGCACGGGUGAGUAACACGUGAAUAAUCUACCUCCGAGUGGGGAAUAACCUAGGGAAGCCUGGGCUAAUACCGCAUAACACUUACGAGUCAAAGCAGCAAUGCGCUUGGAGAGGAGUUCGCGGCAGAUUAGCUAGUUGGUGGGGUAAUGGCCCACCAAGGCGAUGAUCUGUA